UACGAAGGGGGCUAGCGUUGCUCGGAAUCACUGGGCGUAAAGCGCACGUAGGCGGAUCUUUAAGUCAGGGGUGAAAUCCUGGAGCUCAACUCCAGAACUGCCUUUGAUACUGGGGAUCUCGAGUCCGGAAGAGGUGAGUGGAACUGCGAGUGUAGAGGUGAAAUUCGUAGAUAUUCGCAAGAACACCAGUGGCGAAGGCGGCUCACUGGCCCGAUACUGACGCUGAGGUGCGAAAGCGUGGGGAGCAACAGG
rnacentral:rRNA from 1 species